GGAUCUAUGAUUGCUGUUGUGAUUGUUACUAAUCUGUUUUGUUUUUCUUUGUGUAGUCUGCAGGUUCGGAUCCAGAAUCCUCUAAGAAACAGUUCACCAAGAGAGAGCUGAACUUGCUUACCUAGCGUUGUUGAAACAAAGAAGGGGGAAGAUGUUGAGAAACAUUAAGUUUGCCCUGCCCCGUGGCUCCCUUGUGGAGAAUACCUUUUAGUUUGCAAUUAGUGACACAUCAAAACCUCUCAGAUGAGCCACCUAGGAAGACAAAUAGGAAGAAAAUGAGGAUAUCGAAAUCGUAACACAUCUAAAGAAAGACUGUGGGGGAAAAGAGGGGAUGCAAGUAGUUGAUAUUGAAAAAUGAAAGCCACAGGUUGAGAACUAGUCAAUGUGUCAUUAAGCACUGCAAGGAAAGAGGCUAGACUGACCAGCUGUCAGAAGUACUUGGGCCUGCUGGGCAGAUACAUUCUUCUGGUAAAGACAGCUACUUCUGGCUUGCAUCAUUCCCCAUUCUCUGAUUUCAUCUUCCUUGAGCACCCUUCAGAUUUGCAUUCCUCAAAGCAUGUUAACAUGUUUUCAGCGUUGACUAUGUUUUACGUAUAGUAUUUAAUUUUACAGCAAUCCCAGGAGUUGUUUCCCCUAUUUUACAGCUGAGAAAAAAUAGCCAUUUCCUUUUUCUUUUCUUUAUUUUUUUUUCGUUUUUUGAGACAGAGUCUCACUCUGUCACCCAAGCUAGAAUGCAGCGGCAUGAUCAGGGCUUUCUGCAGCCUCGACUUCCUAGGCUUAUGUGAUCCUUUCACCUCAGCCUCCCAAGAAGCUGGGACUACAGGCAUUUACCACCAUGCCCAGAUAAUUUUUUUUUUUUAAUUUCUGUAGAGACAGAGUUUCACCAUGUUAUUCAGGAUGGUCCCAAACUCCUGGAAUCAAGCAAUCCUCCUGUCUUAGCAUCCCAAAGUCCUGGGAUUUACAGGUAUGAGCCACUGCAUCUGGCCAUAGCUAGUCAUUUCUGCCAGGAGCUGCCACUCUGGCCUCCAAAUAUCCACAGCACUUCUCUUCCCACACAUACAAAACACCACAUCCUUAUCUAAGUGAAGGAUCUCCAUCUGAUGCUUGUUGUCACCAUCAUAUUUAAAUGUAGAUCCACAUAGUACAGCAACCUAGGAAUCAAAAGUCAACAUAUCUAGCCACCCAUGACACACCUGUUAAAUAAACUGUAGCCUAGAGCUGCCUCCUUACCUACUUUAAGUUCAGCCUAAAGGUUUCUCUGUAUAUAGUGAAUGCUAACCUAGCUGGAUGUGUAAAUAGAUUAUAAUCUAUUCUUAUACCAAACAUCAUGUUUUGGCCAAUCAAAGGCAACCAACUGUUCAAACCAUAUUCACAUGAGACAAACACCCAGCUGGAAGCAAUCCAGCUGUUUCUGUAUCUCACUUCCGUUUUCUGUAUGUCAUUUUCUUCUUUUUUCUUUCCAUGAAUCCUCUCCAACCACACAGCAGUGCCAGCAGUGUAUCUAUUCUGGUUUAGGGGAACUGCCCGAUUUGCAAAUGGUUCUUUGCUUAAUGAAACCACAAAUUUGUGUAAAGUUUUUCUUUUAACACAACCAAUAUACACUGAUGGAUCAGGGACAAAGUAAAGAUACCACAAGUAAGCUUCCCAUUUGGAAAGAGACUGAUGGGAAGCUCGGAGGUCCUGAUCUACAGAAGUGACAAAAUGUUGUAAAGCAGGCAUGGUGAAGACCUCCUACCCAAGGUCACAUGGCUACAUUGAUUUGUUCAGUCUUAAAAUUGGAUAAAGCUUCCACUCCUCCACAUUGUGUAAAGCAAGUUAGUAGGCUGAUCAGCUGAUUUUUAUUGUGUUAUUAAAUAACUGGCUUUCUAAUACAUUACAAGCCUUGUAAAAAAUUUCUUAUUCACCACUGUAUCCCAAGUGAUUAACAAAGUGUCUGGCACAUAGGUUAUAUCCAAUAAAUAUUUAUUGAAUGAAUAACAUAACCAUUAUAGUCCACUUGGCCAUUACAUUUUUCAGUGUAAAUUAGAAAGCAGAAAUUUUGAGUUCCAUAUCAGUCUUCAUUGACUUUGCUCAGGGUGAAUCAUCCCUCUGGAAGCAGAGUUGCUAGCCUGAGUUUUUAAACUUACAAAGUUGAGAUCUAGUAUAUUGGACAGUCGAUGCCUUGUUUUUUUUUUUUUUUUUAAAUAAUGCCUACAUCAGCAAAA